CCUACGGGAGGCAGCAGUAGGGAAUAUUGCUCAAUGGGGGAAACCCUGAAGCAGCAACGCCGCGUGGAGGAUGAAGGUUUUCGGAUUGUAAACUCCUUUUGUUAGAGAAGAUAAUGACGGUAUCUAACGAAUAAGCACCGGCUAACUCCGUGCCAGCAGCCGCGGUAAUACGGAGGGUGCAAGCGUUACUCGGAAUCACUGGGCGUAAAGAGGGCGUAGGCGGGAUAGCAAGUCAGAUGUGAAAUCCUAUGGCUUAACCAUAGAACUGCAUUUGAAACUGUUAUUCUAGAGUAUGGGAGAGGUAGGUGGAAUUCUUGGUGUAGGGGUAAAAUCCGUAGAGAUCAAGAGGAAUACUCAUUGCGAAGGCGACCUGCUAGAACGUAACUGACGCUGAUGCGCGAAAGCGUGGGGAGCAAACAGGAUUAGAUACCCCAGUAGUC
rnacentral:rRNA from 1 species